rnacentral:rRNA from 1 species
AGAAUCAACGCUGGCGGCGUGCCUCAGACAUGCAAGUCGAACGCGAAAGUCCCCUUCGGGGGACAAGUAGAGUGGCGCACGGGUGAGUAACACGUAGGUAAUCUACCUUCGGGUGGGGAAUAACAAUCGGAAACGGUUGCUAAUACCACAUAAUGCAGCGGCACCUAAUGGUGACAGUUGUUAAAGCGGGGGGAUCGAAAGAUCUCGCGCCUGAAGAGGAGCCUGCGGCGGAUUAGCUAGUUGGUAGGGUAAUGGCCUACCAAGGCGACGAUCC